GAUGAACGCUAGCGGCAGGCCUAACACAUGCAAGUCGAGGGAGAAGCCCUUCGGGGCAGAAACCGGCGCACGGGUGCGUAACGCGUAUGCAACCUACCUUUCACAGGGGGAUAGCCCGAAGAAAUUUGGAUUAAUACCCCAUAAUAUUAUUGAUGGCAUCAUUUGAUAAUUAAAAUUACGAUGGUGAAAGAUGGGCAUGCGUCCUAUUAGCUAGUUGGAGUGGUAACGGCACCCCAAGGCUACGAUAGGUAGGGGUCCUGAGAGGGAGAUCCCCCACACUGGUACUGAGACAGGGACCAGACUCCUACGGGAGGCAGCAGUGAGGAAUAUUGGUCAAUGGUCGGAAGACUGAACCAGCCAUGCCGCGUGCAGGAAGAAUGCCUUAUGGGUUGUAAACUGCUUUUAUAUGGGAAGAAUAAGGUGUACGUGUACAUUGAUGACGGUACCAUAUGAAUAAGCAUCGCA
rnacentral:rRNA from 1 species